rnacentral:rRNA from 1 species
AUUGAACGCUGGCGGCAUGCUUUACACAUGCAAGUCGAACGGCAGCGCGGGCUUCGGCCUGGCGGCGAGUGGCGAACGGGUGAGUAAUACAUCGGAACGUGCCCAGUAGUGGGGGAUAGCUCGGCGAAAGCCGGAUUAAUACCGCAUACGACCUGAGGGUGAAAGCGGGGGAUCUUCGGACCUCGCGCUAUUGGAGCGGCCGAUGGCAGAUUAGCUAGUUGGUGGGGUAAAGGCCUACCAAGGCGACGAUCUGUAGCUGGUCUGAGAGGACGACCAGCCACACUGGGACUGAGACACGGCCCAGACUCCUACGGGAGGCAGCAGUGGGGAAUUUUAGACAAUGGGCGAAAGCCUGAUCCAGCAAUGCCGCGUGUGUGAUGAGGGCCUUCGGGUUGUAAAGCACUUUUGGCGGGAACGAAAAGGACUGUGCCAAUACCACGGUUCGAUGACGGUACCCGCAGAAUAAGCACCGGCUAACUACGUG